CCCCUAGUACUGCGAGUAGAAGCGGGAAAAGCUCAAAUUUAAAAUCUGGUGGUCUUUGGCCAUCCGAGUUGUAGUCUGGAGAAGUGCUUUCCGCGCUGGACCGUAUACAAGUCUCUUGGAACAGAGCGUCAUAGAGGGUGAGAAUCCCGUCUUUGAUACGGACUACCAGUGCUUUGUGAUGCGCUCUCAAAGAGUCGAGUUGUUUGGGAAUGCAGCUCAAAAUGGGUGGUAAAUUCCAUCUAAAGCUAAAUAUUGGCGAGAGACCGAUAGCGAACAAGUACCGUGAGGGAAAGAUGAAAAGCACUUUGGAAAGAGAGUUAAACAGUACGUGAAAUUGCUGAAAGGGAAACGCUUGAAGUCAGUCGCGUUGGCCAGGACUCAGCCUUGCUUUUUUGCUUGGUGCACUUUCUGGUUGAUGGGCCAGCAUCGAUUUUGACCGCUGGAAAAAGGCUAGGGGAAUGUGGCACCUUCGGGUGUGUUAUAGCCCUUAGUCACAUACGGUGGUUGGGAUCGAGGACCGCAGCACGCCUUCAAUGGCCGGGGUUCGCCCACGUUCGUGCUUAGGAUGCUGGCGUAAUGGCUUUAAACGACCCGUCUUGAAACACGGACCAAGGAGUCUAACAUGCUGCGAGUGUUUGGGUGGUAAACCCGAGCGCGUAAUGAAAGUGAAAGUUGAGAUCCCUGUCGUGGGGAGCAUCGACGCCCGGACCUGAUCUUCGGUGAUGGCUCUGCGGUAGAGCAUGUAUGUUGGGACCCGAAAGAUGGUGAACUAUGCCUGAAUAGGGUGAAGCCAGAGGAAACUCUGGUGGAGGCUCGUAGCGAUUCUGACGUGCAAAUCGAUCGUCAAAUUUGGG
rnacentral:rRNA from 1 species